AGGUAGUAAAAUUUUAUAAAAACCUAUUUACUUUGGCGGCAUUUUACUUAAUUAGAGGAACUUGCUAUUUAAUCGAUAAUCCACGAUAUUUUUCACUUUUAUUUAAAGUUUAUAUACCUCCAUCUAAGAAUCAAUUUAUAAAUUUUAUUCUUAAAACAUUUCAAAAGUUAGGUCAAGGUGUAACCAAUACAAAAGAAAUAAGUGAGUUACUUUAAAUAAAAUUUAAGAAUUAAAAAUUAAAAUUUUUAUGAAAAAGAAUUUAAAAGUAAUUAAAAAAUAAUAAUUCUUAAUGAAUAAAGAAAAUAAUGUGC
rnacentral:rRNA from 1 species